UACGUAGGGGGCAAGCGUUGUCCGGAUUUAUUGGGCGUAAAGAGCGUGUAGGCGGUUAGAUAGGUCUGCUGUGAAAACUCCAGGCUCAACCUGGAGACGUCGGUGGAAACCAUCUAACUAGAGUCCGGAAGAGGAGAGUGGAAUUCCUGGUGUAGCGGUGAAAUGCGCAGAUAUCAGGAAGAACACCUGUUGCGAAGGCGGCUCUCUGGGACGGUACUGACGCUGAGACGCGAAAGCGUGGGGAGCGAACAGG
rnacentral:rRNA from 1 species